AGUUAAGUUCAAUGGCCUCUGCAAAAGGGUGGAGCUUCGGGUGUCAGGUCAGGGAGACCGCCCCCAAAAGAAAUGUCAAGGCUCGAUUGGUGGAGACUUGGAGAGUAGAGAAAGGAGCGUAUCAGCGGUGAAGAGGGAAGAUACUUCCGCUGGGAUUGCCCAAUCGCAGAGGUGGAGCAGUUUCUAUAAAAGCUUGAGCCCCAGGCUUCUGCGUUCUUUCCGAAUCAAGUACGAGGUCGUAAGGUUUGUUUUUCGUUUUUCCGUACGUCACGGUCAAGGGAGGAACCGGGCCCAGAGCGGGUUGGGGAAGUGGCCCAAACCUGCCAACCUAGACCCCGGGUCCAGCCUCCGCCUGAAACCCAUCUUGGUCCUCAGCAUUCUACACGUUUCUGACCCCAGUUCCGUCGGGAAGUCGCAAUCUCCAGAUCUGUUUCCCUGUAUAGGACUGUCGGUGAUCCGGCUGGAGACCUUGAGGUAAAUCAGCAUCAGUCUAGGGGCCUUGGUCCCCUGACUCGGAUCCCUGGAUUCAAGGUAGAUCAUGGGCCUUGCCCAGCUGCGCGUGGAGACCUCUGGCUUCUCCCUCUCUCUGCCUUUCUUUUCUAAGGCUUCCCUCUUUGGCGGGAAGCUGGGAUUUUGCACCAUUUGGGGAAAGGAUUUCUUGAACCUCAUUCCUAAACUGCUCCCGCAACAUUGCGAAAUCCAGUGCUAUGUCGGGUAGAAUUCACAGGACUCUUCAGGUUUUAUUUUUGUUACGAAGAAAGCAGGGUGAAUGACUUUGGACUCUUCUGUUGCUUAGUCUCCUAUCUCGCCAUCUACCGACACUCCUUUGCCCUCGUGCCACCUUCCAGUGCGCCCAACUCCAGUAAUCCCACUCUGUGCAGCUCCUGUAAUCACGAGACGUGGGGAAUCAGAGAACCCUCCCGUUUUUCUAGACAGUCUUCUUUUAGCUACAUUCCAACUCUUAAGGGGGAAACAGAGCCUUUUCUACUCUACAAGUACCUGUACUUCUCCGGAUUCCCUUGGCCAAUCCCAAACCCUUCUUCCCUAUGCUCUUCUGUACCCAACGAUACCCCAGGUUGAAAGUGCUGGUCCUGCUGGAGUAAGCCAUAGUGGAACUUCCUAUCGCCCAGGACCAGGGAAAAUACGCCCACUUAGGGAAGUGGCAUAUGGCAAAGGCACAAUCAAGAGUACAUGCGCCCUUCCUCUUAACCGAUUUAGCCCAAUGCAAACAAAGACUGGGCCAAUUUUCUGAAGACCCUAGUAGGUUCACGGGGGAUUUCAGGCCCUAACCCUGGCCCUUGAUUUAACUUGGAAGGACGUCCAAAUGAUCUUACCUACCUGCUAUACCCAUGAGGAGAAGCAGAGGAUAUGGGCAGCAGCACAGGUGUACGCCGACCAGUUUGCCAGGGACCAGCCCAACAUUUAUGUCCCAAAUCAUAAGCCCAUUUGGGAUUAUAAUUGCCUGGGGGGGGGGGGAAGGCCAGGAAUCACGAGGUCCAGUGCCUAUUAGAAGGAACGAGAAAGUGCAUUUGGAAGCCAGUCAAUUAUGAAAAGGUCGAGGAAGUGACCCAAGAGGAAGAAGAAAGCCCUGUUCUCUUUCAGGGACAGCUUGUGGAGGCUUUUUAGAAAAUUUGCUAACAGAUCUCUCUGCUCCCAGGGUUCAGUCCCUGCUGCCCCUGAUAUUAGGCAAAAACUCCAAAAGUUAGUUAGGCCCACAAACUCCUAGAGGUGGCCUUUGGAAUAUUUUAUAAUGGAGAUCAAACUGAGGAAGAGGAUAGAACUCAACAUGGAAAAAGGCACGCCGAGGCUCACGCUAAACUGAUAGCUGUUGCUGUCAGCCGUGCCUUGCAACCUCAGGGCAACCCAAAGGGGGCAAGAAGGUUCAACCAUCAGUCCGGAGGCAAGACCAAGGGGGGAUGCUUUAAAUGCAAGUCACCUGACCAUUGGGCGCAUGAGUACCAGAAGAAGCUCCCGGGCCUUGCCCAGUCUGCAAACAGACCAGUCAUUGGAGAUGGGACUGCCCUUGGUCCCCAAGGGGAAUGGGGGCUCCUGCUCCUGAGAUGGCCAUGCUGGAUAACUGAAGCAGCCCAGGGAUUCUGGCGGUUCCCCCCGUCCCCACAAGAUGUCUAUCUCCUUUGAGGAGCCCCUGGUGGCAGGUAAGAUCAAUUUUUUAAAUUGAUACAGAAGCUACUUGCUCUGCCCUGAUUUCUCACGCUGGGCCUCUUUCCUCUAAAAACUGCAGUGACUGGUGUCAAUGGAAAGCCUCGUACCCUUCACUUCUCUGGGGCUCUCACUGGCCAUUUUGAACAUGCCUUUUUAGUUGAGUAUCCUACCCCACUACUAGGGAGAGAUCUUCUGGGCUCCCUCAAGGCGAUACUGUUAGGAGGCCCCGAGCAGAGCAGCCCCUUAUCUUAACCCUGGCUAAGGCAGAUCAACACAGGAGCAAGGGCUUGUUCCCAGCGAUAUUCUACAAGCAGUGAACCUUGCAGCAAACUGGACAAAGGAGUCCCUGGGAGGGCUAUAAAUGCCCAACCUGCAGAAACUAGCCUUAAGCCAGAAGCUGCUUACCCUAACCAGAGACUAGUACCCCAUUAGGUUAGGCAAAAAAGGGGUUACAACCCCUCAUACAUAAAUUUUUAAAACAUAGCCUCUUGGUUCCCUGUCAGUCUCAAUGCAAUACUCCUAUUUUGUCAGUUAAGCCUAAUGGGGGGAUAUAGGGUGUUGCAAGACCUCAGCAGUAAAAGAGGCAGUGGUUCCUAUACUCCCCCUUGUGGCCAAUUCUUAUAAUAUAUUAGCCCAAGACCUUGUAAAUGCUAAAUGGUUUACUGUGCUCAACCUCAAGGAUGCCGCCUUUUACAUCCCAGUUCAUCCCUCACAAUAUUUGUUUGCCUUCGAGUGGACUAACCCCCACUCGGGCCAGAUGCAACAAUACACCUGGACAACACUACCUACCAUGGGUUUGGGGGCAGCUCACAGUGUUUGCCCAGGCCCUGGGAAAGGAACCAAGGGAAAUAGGCCUAAAAGGGGCUAUGCUACAGCAUGCAGAUGAUAUAUUAAUAUGUAGCCCCACCGUGGAGGCUCAAGUGAGAACAUCAUUGAAGUUCUUAAUUUCCUUGAGGUCCAGGGUUACAGGAUCUCCCAGAAAAAGGCACAAAUCUCAAUGCAACAAGUUAAAUACAUGGGACACAUUAUAAACCCUGGAAGUAGACAGCUGUCGCAAGAUAGAAAUGAGUAUGUUAGGCCUAAGUGCCCCAAAGACGUUUCUUUGUACCUUUUUACAAAGGUAAAAAGGCAGGGUUUUGCUGACUCUUGAUCCCAGGGUUUGGGCUAAUGUCUAAGCUCCUGUAUGAAGCCAUUAAAAGCCCAGAUACCGAACCAUUACUUCGGGCUGAGGAACACAGGAAAAGGCUUUUAAUAGUAUCAAACAGGUCCUCAUUAAAGCUCCUGCUCUGGGUCUCCUCAGUUUUAAAAAGCCAUUCAUUUUGUAAGAAGUCCUAACCCCCUAAAAGCUCUGGGCGACCUAAAAGAAACUAGAAGUUCCUCGGCCAAUAGGCUAUUUUUCCACACAACUAGAUGGUGUGCCCUGAGGUUGGCCUGGCUGCUUUCGGCCAGCAGCUGCCACCACUUUAUCAGUGGAAGAAGCUAACAAGCUUACCUUGGACGGCCACUGGAAGUCCAGACCCCCGCCCCCCAACAUCAAGUACAAAGGUUUCUAGAGAUCAAAGGCCACCACUGGCUAACUGGAGGCCACUGUACUAAGUACCAGGGUUUACUUGACUCCCCAGAGGUAACUCCCAACACUGAGAAAAACGGAACCCUCUUAACACUGUUGGUGGGAAUGUAAAUUGGUGCAGCCACUAUGGAAAACAGUAUGGAGGUUCCUAAAACUACAGUUGCCAUAGGAUCCUACAAUCCCACUCCUGGACAUAUACCCAGACAAAACUAUAAUUUGAAAAGAUACAUGCACCCCAGUGUUCACUGCAGCACUAUUUGCAACAGCCAAGACGUGGAAACAACCUAAAUGUCCAGUAGAGUAGUGGAUAAAGAUGUAGAUAUAUACAAUGGAAUACUACUCAGCCAUUAAAAAGAAUGAAAUAAUGCCAUUUGCAGCAACAUGGAUGGACCUAGAAAUACUAAGCGGAGUAAGUUAGACAUACCAUAUGAUUUAUUUGUGGAAUCCAAACUACACAAAGGAACAUCUGUGAAAAACAGGCUCAGAGAAAAGACUUGUGGUGGCUUGGGGGAGGGAAGGACUAGGAGUUUGGGGUUAGAUGCAAACUAAUAUAUAGAAUAGAUAAACAGGGUACUGUAUAGCACAAGAAACUGUAUUCAGUAUCUUGUAAUAAACCAUAACGGAAAAGAUGGAAAAGUAUAUACAUAUAAGUGAAUCACUUUGCUGUACACCAGAAACUAACAACAUUGUAAAUCAACUCUAUGUCAAUAAAAUUAACUUGCUACACCCUCAACCCAACUACACUGAUGCCUGCUGAAAUCCCAAAGGUAAUACAUUCCUACCUUGACCAGGUUUAUCCCUAUAGGCCUGAUAUGACAGAUCAAGACAUUGAUAAUCCUGAGGAAGAAUGGUUUACUGAUGGCAGUUCAUUAAGGACGGGCUCAGGAGGGUAGAGCAUCAUAGAGGUGAAAACUUUUGCUGCCCAUGGCAGCCCAGAAGGCCGAACUCUAACCCAAACCUUAAUCCUAGGGGAAGGAAAAAUUGUAAGCAUACUCUAAAUAAGCCUACCUUGUUCUACAUGCCAAUGGAGCUAUAUGGAAAGAGGACUUGAAUGCAAAAUAUUCCCCUGUAAAGUAUGGGGCUGAGAUCUCACAGAGGCAGCUCAAAAACCAAGCAAAUCAAGUAACAGUCAUUCACUGCCAUGGACACCAAAAGGGAAUCUCCCAAAUUAUCAAAGGGAACAAUAGGGCAGAAGGAGAAGCAGAGAUAGUCCUGAUACAACAAAUGACAAUCCCAUCCCUUACCCCUUACAACAUGCCCAGGUACUACUGAGGAAACCUGGGCGCAAGAAAAAGGGUGAACUAAGGGAACAGAAGGCUGGUGAUGCAUCAAAAAUUGCUUUUUCUGGCCAAUGGAAAAUCAAAGGGCUACGUGAUUUUUCUCCAUCUGGGGAAGGAUACUGUGUACAGUGGUUUUCUGGCUUUUCAUGAGAAAAUGACUCCCAGAUGUUAAAGGGUUACUUGAGCCUGUGCCCUGUGCCACCCAUAAAUAAGGAGGGCAUCUCAAACCCCACCCCCCUUUUGUUAGCCCAGUCCAGCAACGUGGGCCUCUCCCAGGAGAGGACUGCCAAAUGGAUUUCACUCAGAUGGCCUCUUUCCAGGGCUUCAAAUAUUAGUCUUUGUGGCUAGUUUUACUGGAUGGGUGGAGGCCUUUCCCACUAGGAGAGAAAAGGCAACUGAAGUGGCUAGAGCACUUCUGAAGGAAAUUAUCCCUAGGUUUGGGUUGCCCUGACACCUCCAGAUUGACAGUGGACCCUCAAUUCAUAGCAAAGGUUACCCAAAAGACCCUAGGAAAUAGAUACUACCUUUAUUUGUCCUGCAGACCUCAGUCCUCAGGAAAGGUGGAACAGACCAGUCAUACCCUAAAGAAAACCUUGGGUAAGCUCUUAGCAGGAAAUAUCAGAACCUGGUAAUAGCAGGUGGUGCCACCUGCUGCCAGCGGGGCAGCCCCUAAAAUAACUAGGUUGAGCACCUUUGAAAUGACAUGGUAGGCUAUUCCUCACCCUGGACAUGGUAACCAGCUGAGAAAGCUAGGCACACCUUAAAUACAUUAUUAACCUGGGCCAGGUCGGAAGGGGGCUAUUCAAGAAUGGAAACAGUUCAGCUCUCCCCAGAUAACAGCCCCAGUUACUCCAGUGUAAACCCUGGGUACUGGGUGCUCUUAAAGACCUGGAAAAUGAGUCCCCUGGUGACCAGCUACUCCCAAAGCAAAACAGUCUUUUAUCAAGUUUUGGUAAGCACCCCUACAGUGGUUAAACUUAAUGGAGUCACUAGUUGGGUUCAUCUACCCAGAAUUAAACCUGUUUCCACUGAUCUGUUACAGGAACCUGAAGACCCACAUCCCAGCUAUUCCUGUGAACCUGCCCAAGACCUCAAAUACCUCUUCAAGAAGGUGAUCCCCAAGCCAGUGACAACUGCAUUGAUAAGUAAACUCUCACUUUGACAUUAAUUUAUUUCGGGCUCUCUGGGUAACAAAAGCAAGAUAAGUGACGGUAGGCUGGGAGCCCAUAUUUGUUACUGGGCUCUUGUUUACUGCAGGAUUUCUUUCAACACUACUUGCAUUCCGGUUGCUUCCUAAAUUAGAACUCUGAUGUCAUUAUGAAGUUAUUAGUCACCCCAACUUUUCUCCCCCUCCUUUGGGGAUUCAUGUCAGGGGAGUGAGGAUCCAACGCAAUAGUAAAUCUCAAGAAUUAUUGUUCAGGGAGAGAAUCUGUCUCAGUGCUGGGUUCUAACAUCCCAAUCCUCAAAGCGACGCCUAUAAGCUUAAAGAACUAAGCUACACAUCCAGUAAUGAUGACCUUGAACUUACUCUGGCUGAAGGUCCUGCAACCCCUGCUCCCCUCAGUCCACAUCCAGCCCUUGGCACAGCUUCCAUGCCUGGACCUGACCCCUCUCGUUAGUGCAUCCAGCACACAAAGCUCCCCCCAUCAAAGCAUAUUUGUCUUCUACUCUGUCAUGAAGGUAACUCAUCUUGCUGCCCAUGCCAGAAGCCUGGACUAAAUUCUGCAAUGCACCAGCAGUUGACAUCACCGCCAUUACCCCUAAUUUUAAUUGCGAAGAUCAAACAGUUAACGCCACCCAUUGGUUCCUCCAAGAUCAGCUGGCUGGUGGGAUGUGUCUCCUGGACAGGCCUGGCGCCAAGCGUCUAACACAUAUCUUCCCUGCGUGUAGUACAUGUUUUUUGCCUCUCCCAAAGCCUUCGAAAAGACUCAUACACCCUUAUUCAGUGGUGGGAUCCUUUCUUCCAACUGUACUGGAACCCCCCCCCUUGGGCAGACUCUACUGAAGUGGUUUAAUUCCACAACAGUAUGUCAGGCAUGUGCCCCUCCCAGACAUCUAUUCCUUUGUGGUCCAGGUGCAAACUGACUGUCCUCUUCAAAAAACCCCAAUUCCUCUUUCCCUUUCCUGGGAUUAGCUGUGGCCUUUCCUUGUAUAGACAGUGCUCUGUUUACGGGACAAUGUAACACUAGGCCAACUGAGUAACCAAAGAAACCCAGGUAUUGCCAUCUAUAACAUCACCCACCUCUGGGGCAAAAGGGCAAUUGGUCUCCUUUCGGCAGAAAAUGGAGCUGCCAUUGGUUUGGUGGCCCCUUGGGGAAGCUUUGUUUAUCGUGAAGUGGUGCUCUACAAUCUUUCAGAUGCCCUGUCCUGAGUGAAUCCACAGGGAAUGCACUCACCAGACUCUCAUUGUCUCUAAGUUCCUUGGCUAGUAAAGUGAUGGCUAAUAGACUGGCCUUAGACUUCCUCCUAGCCAAACAAGGAGGAGUAUGUGCAGUUAUCAAGACAUGUUGCACCUACAUCAAUAACUCUGGGCUAGUAGAAGAGGACGUCAAGAAAAUGUGACCACGCCAAAUGGCUUCAUUCCUUCAGACAGGGUAACCCAAGCGCUGACCUAGACUGCAAUUAAGGAGAUGUUACCAAGUGAGACCUGGUUCUUGCCCCCUGCUUGGACCUCUAGUUGCCAUAAUCCUUUUACUGAACUUUGGCCCCUGCCUUUUUAAUCUGCUUGUUAAGUUUGCUUCCAGGUUGCAACAGUUCCACAUCAAGAUGAUGGUGAUGUAGGGAUUCCAGCCAUUCCCUGAAUAGAUCGUACUGGAAUAGCAGAAGUCACCCUGGGGCCCCUGGACAAAACAGGGCAAGAGUUCCGUGGCCCCAAUUAGGUAGGGUCCAUGAGCCCAGUGCCAGCCUGAAGAAGCUACAGAAGACAGACCUCCGCCCCUCAUCCUCCCAAUAAAGAGUUCUUGGGGUCCUCGUCACUUGGGAGAUUUGAGGUAAGAGAUAGGUGGCUGAGCAGCUGCAACCAUUUCUCCUGCUGACACUUCAAGAUAAGGUAGUAGCAGGAGCUUCGGGCCCUGACUGGGUGGAAGACAAAGUAACCACAGUUUCCUCAUUCUUGUGGGUCAAGGGGAUUUUCCAGCCCAACACAUCUGUUUCACAGUCUUGGUCUCUUCUGGAUUCUUGGUCUCGUUGGAUUCUGUUCUCAAAGACAUCUAUAAGUCUCUGAAGUGCUUAGCAAUAAAGCAAAGGUGGUGAGUU